rnacentral:ncRNA from 7 species
ACACAUGUGGUGUAGUGGUAGCUACUGCUAUUAUGAGAGGUUGUGGGUUCGAAUCCCGGCCAUGUGUA